CGUCUUGCUGCUUUGGCGAAGCGCAAAGACCGAAUUUCUGAACCCAAUAACAAUUCUUGGAAGCUUUUCAAAUGCAGAAAGCUCUCCGGUAAUGUUUACUUUCAUAAGCCUCAAACACCCGCUCCCGUUAACCCACCUCCUAAACCCUGCGCCCCUAGUCCUCCACCCCAAAGAUUUAAGGCCAGGCUUGAAAUCUGCUCGCCGGACUCGUUCUGUGUCACUCCCGUGCCCCUGCAAGGGUUUAUUUAUCCGGGUGAAAAGAAUUGUUUAGAG
rnacentral:misc_RNA from 1 species